UGGGAAAAAGAAUUUCAGUGCAAUCCAUCUUCUUAGAGGGAGGUACUUUGUUUUCUCCCAUUCUGACAUCACUUUUAAUUCUCCUUGUAUUUGGGCCUCAUAUAUUGAACCUCCUGGCCAGAUUUGUCUCCCCCAGGGUCCAGGUCACCAAUUUCCAGAUGACUGCUCAGGCUGCAUACCAACCUUGGAACUAAUCAAAGGCCCCUAAGACCCUGGACUUAGCAUCAGCCAUGUUCCGAAGUCUGACUCCUGGAAAAGGACCCAGUGAGGCAGGGACAGCUCUAUGCCCAUGGCCAGCAGGAAGCAGUUUCAGAAGCUAAGACCUUCACCCCUUACCCCAAAAGAUUUGGGUCCCAUUUGUUUGAAGGGAAAAUGAUGGCCUUAUAGGACCUAGACCCCUACACUGAAACUUAUGUUUGGGCAUAACAUUGGCUCAAUUCCCAAGCUCAUUACUAAGGGAAAAACCAAAAAUAACCACCAAUCUGUAGUGAUGCACUCUCCAGCUCCUCCUCCCUUUGUCUGUUUUCUAUAAUUACCACUGGGAUUUUUGAAGUUCUUGGCAGGGAUCCACUGAAGUGCUGGCCACCACCCCAAACUGAAGAUUGCCCCUGUUUCAUGGUCAGUAUGGAGUGUGUCGCCUGCCCUUUUAAAGUGCUACCUAUGGUGUGGAGAGGAAAUUGCUUCAAUGGGCGCUUCAUAAAUGCUGCUUGACUUAACUUCACAGUUGAACUAACUACCUGUGCUGCUAGGAUCCAAGAAGAGAGAACCAGUGACAACAGGAGUGUGAUAUCUUGACUUGUGAGUGAAUUAGAUUCAAGUGAGACAGAACUGUGCAAAGUCUUCAGCUCCACUCUCUGCUCCAGAGUUGUCAGAGUCCAGGGCAAGAGACAGGUCAGCACCGCUGGAGGUGGCCCCAGCUGCAGUGGGAAACCCUCGGAAUUUCCAGCCGGAAUCGAAGGUGCCCAGUAAGUGAGGGUAGGCUUUGACAGUUAAAACAAGUGAUAUCUGAAAGCAAUAACAUCAGUCAUUGACAUCUUUGUUCUAAUUAAGCAGUUCCUGAGCCCAAAAUCUUGCCAGUUAUGCAAAAUUUGCUGAAUGAGAAGGGACAAAUGUAUAAUACAAUGUAGGGAUAAUGUAAUCUAAACUGGGAUUUUGUCU